rnacentral:lncRNA from 1 species
UUAGUGCCUUAGUGGCCUUAGACCUGACAAUCUUUAUCCAUACUCACGGAUUUUCGCUGAUUAUCUGCAAAUUUAUGGAUAUGAAUACUAGUUUUUUUUAGCCAAAAAAUUAUAGGUAAAACGAGUAGGUACCCGUUGAGUGAUAGAUAUUUAGGACAAUCCGCAGGUACCCACGAAUACCGGCAUAUAUAUUUUUUAAUUAAAAAAUAUGUAUUUUUUAUAUUAUUGACUCUAUAAUAGUAAAAAUUUUAUUAAUUUUGUAUCUUAAAAAUUUGGGACGAUAAAAUACUUUUAUAUUAUAUAAUGUAUAUACUUUAAAGAUUUUAUAUUGUUAAUUAUAUGUUAUGAUAUUUCAAAUAAGGAGUUACGUUAUGUUUUUAAUAUAUAUAUAUGUUUUGUAUUUAGAAAGCAUAGGAGUAGGAAAAAGAAAAAAACUUGUGGGUAACUCGCAU